GACGAACGCUGGCGGCGUGCCUAAUACAUGCAAGUUGAGCGAUGAAGUUUGGUGCUUGCUCCUCUUUGAAGAGCAGCGAACGGGUGAGUAACGCGUGGGUAAUCUGCCUUUGAGCGUGGGAUAACUUUUGGAAACGAAUGCUAAUACCGCAUAACAUCUUUAAACAUAUGUUUUAAUUUUGAAAGAUGCAAUUGCAUUCCUCUAAGAUGAUCUCGCGUUGUCUUAGCUAGUUUGUGAGGUAAAGGCUCACCAAGGCGAUGAUACAUAGCCGACCUGAGAGGGUGAUCGGCCACAUUGGGACUGAGACACGGCCCAAACUCCUACGGGAGGCAGCAGUAGGGAAUCUUCGGGAAUGGAGGAAAGGCUGAACGAGCAAAGGCGGGUGAGUGAAGAAGGUUUUCGGAUCGUAAAACUCUGUUGGUAGAGAAGAACGUUGGGGAGAGUGGAAAGCGCAUCAAGUGACGGUAACUACUCAGAAAGGGACGGCUAACUACGUG
rnacentral:rRNA from 1 species